CAUUCCGUCUUCAACGAGAAGUCGAGAGUGGAGAAUCGAGAACGAAACGAAUGUGGAAGUGAGUGAGUGACGUUUUGUAGUGUCUGAAGUCUGAACAACAUUCAACUUUCAACAGUUUCAUCGUGUCUACUGUCUAUCGUGUAUUACGUAGUCCAUGGCUAUGCCAUGAAGGUCGUUUGAUUUGAAUUGAUUACAUUUCGAGUUGUAAAAUUCCAGUUCUUGAUUAGUAUUUGUCUUGUUCAAAUAUAAUCCACGAGUUAAGUUGGGUGUCUUCGUUGUUAAAAUAUUGUAGUUUAUUGUCAUAAUGAGUGGGAAAGGCAAGGAGCCUUUCAAUCAACCUCGCUUGAAAGGGCACGAACGCUCAGCAUCGGCCUAUGACGGCACAACAGCAGGCAGUGGCAUGAGUGGUGCAACCUCUCCGGGAACUGAUAGUUUUGACAGCUCGUUCUUCGAUUCGGGCCAUAUCGACUCUGGAUUCCAAUCAGAACAAUUUUUAUCGGGCGAAAUAACAUCACCAUCUUAUUCUUCUCAAAGGUCACAAGAAUUAGACUCAAGUGACAGUAUACAGAGUGACUCGAAAAGCUGUCCCGCGCUCGACAGUGGUGUUGUUGACAUUGGUCUUAGUGGGGACUUGACUAACCUUAAAAUAGACGAUAACAGUGUUGGUAGACGUAACAACUUGAAUGCCCCCCACGAGUACACGGAAGGAUUGUCUUCAGCAUCACUGACUUCCAACACACAGUCCUCAUUAGACGUUACCACAAUAGUCAACCCUCUUUCACUGCCUGUCGAUAUCUACUUUGAACAAGAUGAAGAUGGCGACACACAACUCCACAUAGCAAUCUACUGUAAAUUUAUCGAAGUUGUGUACUGCCUAAUCACAAUGGUGCCUGAUCCAAGAUAUUUGGAUAUUCGCAAUGAUGCCUGGCAGACGCCGCUGCACUUUGCCGUGCUCACUUGCCAGCCUCGCAUUGUGCGCCGCCUGGUGUGCGCAGGAGCGUCGGUCGACUUGUUAGACAUGCAGGGCAACACUCCGUUGCAUCUGGCCGUCGAACAGGUCGACGUCGCUUCGGCCGCCGCCAUCUUGCAGCCCGUAACCACGGCCGAGGCCGUUGCAGCGCAACUCAAGUACUCGCCGGCGCUGCAACGUCACGUCAACAUCAACCGACACAACUAUGAUGGUCUAGCUUGUAUUCAUAUUGCUGUUAUGAAGCGCUCCAUUCAACUUGUUCAAUUACUACUCUGGCACGGGGCUGACAUCAACUCGAGAGAGUGGAAGUCAGGAAUGACACCUCUGCACCUGGCCGUGCAGUUGAAAGACCAGCAGAUGAUUGACCUGAUGGUGUCGCAGUGCAAGAACCUCGACCUUGAGGAGCAGACGUACGCCGGCCUCACCGCCUUCCAGUUGGCCGCCCUGCAGAACUCCACUACGCUCGCCCACUACCUGCUGCAGAAAGGCGCCGACAACUGUCCCAUAGACGAAGACAGCGAAGAAGAGGACGAUGAUGAGGAGGAGGUGAACAACAGCUAUCACACAGGCUUGACCCAGUCGAAGAUAAAUGGUGCUAUAAAUGUGAGUGCAUAGAACGUUUGCUGCGACAGUGAAAGCACUGAAUAGUACUCAUUGUAUAGAUACUACUCAAUACUGUUGAUUUCUCUGACAAAUAACAGUGAUUGUAAAUAUUCUAGUUUGUAGUGAGAUUUACUUCAGACUGUCAGCAUAGGUUGAUGAGGAUGAGUUAAUGAGUUGUUGAGGAUUGUUCACAGUUUGAAGUGAAUGUCAUGAUAUGCAUAUUGUUAGGAAUGUACUGAUUAUGAUGAAGACUGAAUAAUCAAUCAAAGUGAUGUGGCGAGUUAUUGUCAGACUUGAUUGUCAGGCCUUGUGUAGAAUUAAUGGACGAUCGAAAAUGAUGACCAAUGAUUGAAAAGUGCCAGACAAGAAUUUUUUUUAAUGUAUACCAUAAUAUAACUACCAUGUAAAUACUAAUGUUUUCUAGUAUAUUUGCAUUUUUCUUCAGUUUUGAAGAUAAUUUCACUUUGAUGAUAACCCAGAAGUUAUUUUUUGGUUCUCUGUAUCUAUUAGGAACUUGGCCAGUUAUACUUUCCACUAAAACUUUUCAUAUUUCUAUAAAUCCUCAACUUGAUUCGCUUAUUUCAAUGAAUCAAUAAUAUCAACUAUUCACGUUACUUCUCUCCAUGUUACAUUGAUAUAUUCCAAGUAUAUAAAUUGAUAGAAUCAAAAUUUCCGUAGUCGGACCACUAUAUGCAUUGGUCAUUCUGUUAUGUACUAAAAUGCGGUAGUGGAAUUAAUAGAUAAUUGUUUGUAUGGACUUACUCCGGCAAUAUUAAUAAGUCAAAUUACAGCUUCAGUCUGUAAAAGUUGUUGUAACUACUGUACUUGAAUAUUAUUAAUACUUGAAUAGAGUGAAGAUUGUUGCGUUGUUAGAAACGUGAGUUGAAGCAUAACAACUGUUCUCUAGUUUAUGCUCAAUAUUUACAUUUUUGGACUCAGUUCCCCUUCGGAAAUACCUAGUACAUCUGAGAUCCGAUACACUUUUCCAAGAUAUUUCGUCAUAAGGAAUACUUUUGUUUCCCUCUGAAUGUCUGAAGUUUGAGACUCACUCUUCUGUGAUGAAUUUUUUCUAUUUGCUUCCGCCAAAUAAUUUUUUUUUCUAUUUUUUAAUUGGGAUAACUAGUACCCUUUUUUAUACUUUUUCACAUGAACACACCAAGGACACUUGAAAAUGGCAUGAGUGCUGAAACUAUCAAUGUUAAUGUGAAAAAAAUAUAUAAAAAGAGUACUAGUUAUUUUUAUAUAUUUUUUUCCUAUUACAGUAAUAACAAUUCCUAUUACAUUAUAUCAAUUGGGAUUCCCAAUUGAUUCCUAUCAUCAUUUCAUUGGGGAAAACCCUUCAUCUAUAAUCUUGAAUUGUUUAUUAUAAGCUCUGAUGCAAUCUCUAAUCGCCUAAUUUUUCAAUUUCACUUUUUCUCAUUUUUGCUUUCGGGCACAUCAUACUUAUCAUUUUUCUAUUCUAUUUACUGUAACUAAAGAUUUUUAUUUAUAUUGUACUCCUCCACAUUUUUAUUUAUAUAUUAUUCUGUUGAAAAUUGUAUUAGCCUUAGCCGCUUUGAUGUAAAUUUGAUUUUUGCGCAUAUUAUUGUUUAAUUUCAAUAAAUGCCUGACUUGUUACUGCCAAAAUAAACUAUUGAUGUCGGUAAAUUUUUGAAUGAUUUGGAAGAUUGGAAGUCAAAUUUUGUAAGAAUUAAUACUAUAUUUAGUUUUAAAGUACUAUUAUUUAUCCAUCACGUAUUGUUUUAGUGUAAUUCCAAGAUUUGAUGUUGUGUUAACCAUUUUCAAUAUGCAAUUGGUUUUGUUAUGUAGGCAAAUUACUUGAUAAUUGUCUUAUUAUUUAAUAAUUUACCUAAUUAGCUGACCGUACUUUGAAAAAAUUACUGCAGUUUAAUUUAACGAUUCAACAGCAGAUUACUUGUAAACUCUUGAAUGAAUAAUGCAAUAUAACUAUUACUGUUCCUGAAUGUUUUAUGAUUGAAACAAACUGGUCUAAUUAUAUUUUUAAAAGUACAUUUAGAAUUCCUUCAUUGGAGUGAUUCGACUGGAGAAAUAGUUAUCUUAGUAGUAAGGCUCUGAAGGUUUGCUGCAUUUCGUUUUGGAAAUGUAGAUGCUAAUUUACUACUUUAUUUGAAAAACUAUGUUUUGAAUUAUUAAAAAGUUGAUCAGAAGAUUUAUGUGGUGAUUCAUAUUAUCCUGUUACCGCAAGAACAAACAAAUCUCUCUUUAACGAAUGAGAAUAAAGAACUUAAUUAUUACGGAUUCAGUACAAAAAACUUUCUGAGAUGGAUCUAAACCUUUGAUCUGUUGCACAAUUUAUUGGUCUGGACUACAACUAUUUCUAUCUCCAUCAAUCAGCGAAAAUCUAUCUCUAUCUUUAAAUUAAUAAAAUAAUUUCUAAUUGUGGAGAUCGCUGUUUUAUCUCGAGAGCAGGGCCUCAUUAUGUUAUCUAUUGACGUGUUAUCGUACACAUUACAUUUUUGUGAAUAAUAUGGCCUGCUCAUUCAGACUGUUACUUAUAACAGUUUGUUUACUAGUGUUUUUAUCAUAAAACCAUUCAGUAUUAGAAUUUGAUAAAUUCCAAAAAAAAAACUUCCAUGUUUCUCUUUUAC
rnacentral:misc_RNA from 1 species